rnacentral:rRNA from 1 species
GACGAACCGUGCAAACGUUGUUCGGAAUCACUGGGCUUAAAGGGCGCGUAGGCGGGUUGCCAAGUCUGUGGUGAAAGCCCCCGGCUUAACCGGGGAAGUGCCGUGGAUACUGGCGAUCUCGAGGAGGGUAGGGGCAUCUCGAACGUUGGGUGGAGCGGUGAAAUGCGUUGAUAUCCAACGGAACUCCGGUGGCGAAGGCGAGGUGCUGGACCCUUUCUGACGCUGAGGCGCGAAAGCCAGGGGAGCAAACGGG